GAUUGGUAUUGGCUGAAAUGUUGCAGUAAUCACAUGAUAGGGUUAAUACAACAUGAGUUACAUGCUGAGUGCUCUAAGGUAGAAAGUAGGUAACAAGGAAUAACAGGUAGGUAAUGUAAGUUGGGAGAAGGAAACUCUAGGACAGAAUCAUUAGAAAAGGCUUGACGUCAUCAGCAGUGUAUAGAAUUUACAGUGUAUAGAAUUUACAGUGCAUAGAAUUUACAAUAAGUGCCUUUUUUUGUGCUCAUCAAUGCUCUUGCUUGUAUUGUAGGAGGAGUUAGUUCCCUUGAAGAAAUAUCAAUACAAAUUUCCAAAUUGCAAUGCAGAGGGAAAAAAGAAUGAGAAAGUAAAAAAUAUCCAAGAACUCUGGAAGCAUUUCAAAAAUUGUAAAAAUGCAUAGUGACAAUGUCAGGAGAAUAAGGAGAUAAAGGAAAAGAAAUAUUUGACACAACAAUGACUUGAGCACUUUCUAAAAUUAAUGAUGGACAGAAACCCACAUGUUCAGGAAGCUCAGAGAGCACUCUGCAGAAUAAAAAUAUUUUACAAAUCAACACCUUUGCAUUUCAUAUUUAAAGUCUGGAAAAUCAUAGACUAAGGGAAUAGUUUGAUAGGAGCAAUAGGAAGAAAACCAUCUUACCUAUGGAGCAACAAGAAUAAAAAUUGCUUUGAAAUUAUCUUCAGAAUCCAUGAAAGCAAGAAGUUAUGGAAAAGUGAAAUGAAUGACAGCAAUAUUAUAAGUCAUCCAGUUCCAAGAUGGCCGAAUAGGAACAGCUCCAGUUUACAGCUCCCAGUGUGAGUGACGCAGAAGACAGGUGAUUUCUGCAUUUCCAACUGACGUACCAGGUUCAUCUCACUGGGGCUUGUUGGACAGUGGGUGCAGCCCAUGGAGUGUAAGCCAAAGCAGGACGAGGCAUCACCUCACCUGGGAAGCGCAAGAGGUCAGGGAAUUCCCUUUCCUAGCCAAGGGAAGCGUGACAGACGGUACCUGGAAAAUUGGGACACUCCCACCCUAAUACUGUGCUUUUCCAACUGUCUUAGCAAAUGGCACACCAGGAGAUUAUAUCCCGCGCCUGGCUUGGAGGGUCCCACAUCCACGGAGCCUCGCUCACUGCUAGCACAGUAGUCUGAGAUCAAACUGCAAGGCAGCAGUGAGGCUGGGGGAGGGGCAUCCACCAUUGCUGAGGCUUGAGUAGGUAAACAAAGCGGCUGGGAAGCUCGAACUGGGUGGAGCCCACCACAGCUCAAGGAGGCCUGCCUGCCUCUGUAGACUCCACCUCUAGGGGCAGGGCAUAGCAGAACAAAAGGCAACAGAAACUUCUGCAGACUUAAACAUCCCUGACAGCUUUGAAGAGAGUAGUGGUUCUCCCAGCACAGAGUUUGAGAUCUGAGAACAGACAGACUGCCUCCUCAAAUGGGUCCCUGACCCCCAAGUAGCCUAACUGAGAGACACCUCCCAGUAGGGGCUGACUGACACCUCGUACAGCUGGGUGCCCCUCUGAGACGAAGCUUCCAGAGGAAGGAUCAGGCAGCAACAUUUGCCGUUCUGCAAUAUUUGCUGUUUUGCAGCCUCCGCUGGUGAUACCCAAGCAAACAGGGUCUGGAGUGGACUUCCAGAAAACUCCAACAGACCUGCAGCUGAGGAUCCUGACUGUUAGAAGGAAAACUAACAAAGAGAAAGGACAUCCACACCAAAACCCCAUCUGUACGUCACCAUCAUCAAAGACCAAAGGUAGAUGAAACCACAAAGAUGGGGAGAAACCAGAGCAGAAAACCUGAAAAUUCUAAAAAUCAGAGCACCUCUUCUCCUCCAAAGGAAUGCAGCUCCCUGCCAGCAAUGGAACAAAGCUGGACGGAGAAUGACUUUGACGAGUUGACAGAAGUAGGCUUCAGAUGAUCGGUAAUAACAAACUUCUCUGAGCUAAAGGAUGAUGUUCAAACCCAUCGCAAAGAAGCUAAAAACCUUGAAAAAAGAUUAGAUGAGUGGCUAACUAGAAUAAACAGCAUAGAGAAGACCUUAAAUGACCUGAUGGAGCUGAAACCAUGGCACGAGAACUACAUGACACAUGCACAAGCUUCAGUAGCCGAUUUGAUCAAGUGGAAGAAAGGGUAUCAGUGAUUGAAGAUCAAAUGAAUGAAAUGAAGCAAGAAGAGAAGUUUAGAGAAAAAAGAGUAAAAAGAAACAAACAAAGCCUAAAAAAGUAAAAAAGUAAAACAAAGUAAAAAAGAAACAUGGGACUAUGUGAAAAAACCAAAUCUACGUCUGAUUGGUGUACUUGAAAGUGACGGGGAGAAUGGAACCAAGUUGGAAAACACUCUGCAGGAUAUUAUCCAGGAGAACUCCCCCAACCUAGGAAGGCAAGCCAACAUUCAAGUUCAGAAAAUACAGAGAAUGCCACAAAGAUACUCCUUGAGAAGCGUAACUCCAAGACACAUAAUUGACAGAUAGACCAAAGUUGAAAUGAAGGAAAAAAUAUUAAGGGAAGCCAGAGAGAAAGGUCAAGUUACCCACAAAGGGAAGCCCAUCAAACUAACAGCAGAUCUCUCAGCAGAAACUCUACAAGCCAGAAGAGAGUGGGGGCCAAUAUUCAACAUUCUUAAAUGAAAGAAUUUUCAACCCAGAAUUUCAUAUCCAGCCAAACUAAGCUUCAUAAUUGAAGGAGAAAUAAAAUACUUUACAGACAAGCAAAUGCUGAGAGAUUUUGUCACCACCAGGCCUGCCCUACAAGAGCUCCUGAAGGAAGCACUAAACAUGGAAAGGAACAACCGGUACCAGCCACUGCAAAAACAUGCCAAAUUGUAAAGACCACUGAUGCUAGGAAGAAACUGCAUCAACUAACGAGCAAAAUAACCAGCUAACAUCACAAUGACAGGAUCACAUUCACAGAUAACAAUAUUAACCUUAAAUGUAAAUGGACUAAAUUCUCCAAUUAAAAGACACAGACUGGCAAAUUGGAUAGAGUCAAGACCCAUCAGUGUGCUGUAUUCAGGAGACCCAUCUCAUGUGCAGAGACACACAUAGGCUCCAAAUAAAGGGAUGGAGGAAGAUCUACCAAACAAAUGGAAAACAAAAAAAAGCAGGGGUUGCAAUCCUGGUCUCUGAUGAAACAGACUUUAAACCGACAAAGAUCAAAAGAGACAAAGAAGGCCAUUAUGUAAUAGUAAAGGGAUCAAUUCAACAACAAGAGCUAACUAUCCUAAAUAUACAUGCACCCAAUACAGGAGCACCCAGAUUCAUAAAGUAAGUCCUUACAGACCUACAAAGAGACUUAGACUCCCACACAAUAAUAAUGGGAGACUUUAACACCCCACUGUCAACAUUAGACAGAUCAACAAGACAGAAAGUUAACAAGGAUAUCCAGGAAUUGAACUCAGCUCUGCACCAAGCAGACCUAAUAGACAUCUACAGAACUCUCCACCCCAAAUCAACAGAAUGUACAUUCUUCUCAGCACCACAUCGCACUUAUUCCAAAAUUGACCACAUAGUUGGAAGUAAAGCACUCCUCAGCAAAUGUAAAAGAAUAGAAAUUAUAACAAACUGUCUCUCAGACCACAGUGCAAUCAAACUAGAACUCAGGAUUAAGAAACUCACUCAAAACCGCUCAACUACAUGGAAACUGAGCAAUCUGCUCCUGAAUGACUACUGGGUACAUAAUGAAAUGAAGGCAGAAAUAAAGAUGUUCUUUGAAACCAAUGAGAACAAAGACACAACAUACCAGAAUCUCUGGGACAUAUUUAAAGCAGUGUGUAGAGAGAAAUUUAUAGCACUAAAUGCCCACAAGAGAAAGCAGGAAAGAUCUAAAAUUGACACCCUAACAUCACAAUUAAAAGAACUAGGGAAGCAAGAGUCAACACUUUCAAAAGCUAGCAGAAGGCAGGAAAUAACUAAGAUUGGAGCAGAACUGAAGGAGAUAGAGACACAAAAAACCCUUCAAAAAAUCAAUGAAUCCAGGAACUGGCUUUUUGAAAAGAUAAACAAAAUUGAUAGACCGCUAGAAAGACUAAUAAAGAAGAAAAGAGAGAAGAAUCCAAUAGAUGCAAUAAAAAAUGAUAAAGGGGAUAUCACCACCAAUCCCACAGAAAUACAAGCUACCAUCAGAGAAUACUAUAAACAUCUCUAUGCAAAUAAACUAGAAAAUCUAGAAGAAAUGGAUAAAUUCCUGGACACAUACACCCUCCCAAGACUAAACCAGGAAGAAGGUGAAUCUCUGAAUAGACCAAUAAUAGGCUCUGAAAUUGAGGCAGUAAUUAAUAGUCUACCAACCAAAGAAAGUCCAGGACCAGAUGGAUUCACAGCUGAAUUCUGCCAGAGGUACAAAGAGGAGCUGGUACCAUGCCUUCCAAAACUAUUCCAAUCAGUAGAAAAAUAGGGAAUCCUCUCUAACUCAUUUUAUAAGGCCAGCAUCAUCCUGAUACCAAAGCCUGGCAGAGACACAACAAAAAAGAGAAUUUGAGACCAAUAUCCCUGAUGAACAUCAAUGCAAAAAUCUUCAAUAAAAUACUGGCAAACUGAAUCCAGCAGCACAUCAAAAGCUAAUCCACCACGAUCAAGUUGGCUUCAUCCCUGGGAUGCAAGGCUGGUUCAACAUACACAAAUCAAUAAACAUAAUCCAUCAUAUAAACAGAACCAAAGACAAAAACCACAUGAUUAUCUCAACAGAUGCAGAAAAGGCCUCGACAAAAUUCAACAGCCCUUCAUGCUAAAAACUCUCACUAAACUAGGUAUUGAUGGGACGUAUCUCAAAAUAAUAAGAGCUGUUUAUGACAAACCCACAGCCAAUGUCAUACUGAAUGGGCAAAAACUGGAAGCAUUCCCUUUGAAAACUGGCACAAGACAGGAAUGCCCUCUCUCACCGCUCCUAUUCAACUUAGUGUUGGAAGUUCUGGCCAGGGCAAUCAGGCAGGAGAAAGAAAUAAAGGGUAUUCAAUUAGGAAAA
rnacentral:lncRNA from 1 species